CCAUUUUCGCACAGCGUUAGUCCGACUAAAUGUGUCUCUAAAGACGUUAGACCUAGCUGGUUAGUUACAUGAAAUGAAAAGUAGCUCGUGUAUUUAGCUAACUUGAAAGAUCAUGUAACACAGGCGAAUAUAUGUCAUUUUUGUUUCGCAAUCUCUUGACGUACUUUGGUAUGUAGUCACCGACGAUGCAGCGAUAAGCAAUCAAAUUCGCGGCGUGACAGUUAGGUUAAGGUUAGCUAGCUAAACUGCAUUGGUUUGGGUAUCUCCAGUCAGUAAGGAAGAAAAGCGCAAGAUAUUAAAUAGUUAGCUGAGCUAAGUUUAUAAACAGUUAAUAACUUGGUCUUUGAGGUAUACAACAUUUCAGUUUUGAAUCAGAUUGAAGUCGGACUAACACUUUACUUGGGGGCAACGGAUGUUCAAUAGAACGGAUGCGUGAGAACAUGUCCACCAUGGUGUGUUUGAAGGAGGAGGAAGACCCUGGGGAGAAGCUGUCCCAGGAUGAGAUCAUCUCCAGGACCAAGCAGGUGAUCCAGGGCCUGGAGGCUCUGAAGCAGGAGCACAACUCUAUCUUGGAGGGCUUGCUGGGCACGCUGCGCUGCCUGAAGCGGGAAGACCAGGGUGUCCUGGUGGAAGAGAAGUCCCUCAUGAUCCGCAAGUCCCUGGAGAUGCUGGAGCUGGGCCUGAGCGAGGCACAGGUGAUGAUGGCGCUGUCGGGCCACCUGACCUCUGUGGAGUCGGAGAAGCAGAAGCUGAGGGCACAGGUUCGUCGGCUGUGCCAGGAGAACCAGUGGCUGAGGGACGAACUGGCGGGCACCCAGCAGAAGCUGCAGAAGAGUGAGCAGAGCGUGGCUCAGCUGGAGGAGGAGAAGAAACACCUGGAGUUCAUGAACCAGCUCAAGAAGUACGACGAGGACCUGUCGCCAUCGGAGGAGAAGGACUCUGACUCCAGUAAAGAGAAUCUGGAUGAUCUGUUCCCAGACGACCAGGAUGACCAACCUCCUGGCAUCCAGCAGCCCCACGGUAGUGCAGCAGCAGCAGCAGCCCAGCAGGGAGGCUAUGAGAUCCCGGCCCGCCUCAGGACCCUUCACAACCUGGUGAUCCAGUACGCCUCCCAGGGCCGCUACGAGGUGGCCGUGCCCCUCUGCAAACAGGCCCUGGAGGACCUGGAGAAGACCUCCGGACACAACCACCCAGACGUGGCCACCAUGCUCAACAUUCUGGCCCUGGUCUACAGGGACCAGAAUAAAUACAAAGAGGCAGCCAACCUGCUAAACGACGCUCUGGCCAUCAGGGAGAAGACUCUGGGCAGGGACCAUCCAGCGGUGGCUGCUACACUCAACAACCUGGCUGUACUCUACGGGAAACGGGGGAAGUACAAGGAAGCGGAGCCCCUUUGCAAGCGGGCUCUGGAGAUCCGGGAGAAGGUUCUGGGUAAGGACCACCCAGACGUUGCCAAGCAGCUGAACAACCUGGCCCUGCUGUGUCAGAACCAGGGCAAGUACGAGGAGGUGGAGUACUACUACCAGCGGGCCCUGGAGAUCUACCAGACCAAACUGGGCCCUGACGACCCCAACGUGGCUAAGACCAAGAACAACCUGGCGUCCUGUUACCUGAAGCAGGGGAAGUUCAAGCAGGCUGAAACUCUGUACAAAGAGAUCCUUACCCGCGCACAUGAGAGGGAGUUUGGCUCUGUAGACGAUGAGAACAAACCCAUUUGGAUGCAUGCUGAGGAGAGAGAGGAACAGAGCAAGGGAAAGCAGCAGGCCGGCUCCCUGUUCGGAGAGUAUGGUGGCUGGUACAAGGCCUGUAAAGUAGACAGCCCCACAGUAACCACCACCCUGAAGAAUCUGGGUGCCCUCUACAGGCGGCAGGGUAAAUUUGAGGCGGCAGAGACACUGGAGGAGGCAGCAAAGCGCUCCAGAAAACAGGGUCUGGACACAGUGCACAAGCAGCGUGUGGCGGAUGUUCUGAGCGAGCCGGAGGCGCGGGAGAAGCAGCGGAGCCGUGAGAGUCUGACCUCCGACACCACGGUUAAGUACGAGAGCGGCCCGGACGGGGGUGAGGAAGCAUAACUCCAGAUGCCUUGUUGUGGUUCUAAAAACUUGUCUUCUGCAUGAUGGACGCCUGCUCGCCUGCCACCCCUCCAGCUUUGCAGUUGUCCUCUCUUCAGACUCUGGUCCCCUGCUCUCCUCUGGGCUGUCUGUCUGGUUACUCUACAGGGACACAUUGGGCCAAGCUGACCCCAGCUCUAUCCAAUGUCAUUGGGACAGGGGUUCUGGGCUCUGUCCCAGAACCAUUCCAAGCCACUCCUGCCAUUACCUUAUCUUACUCUUACUGUACUUAAAUACUCUGUCUCCUCGCUCUCUCACUUGAGGAGUUUCUAACUAUCUCUGUGUGGUGGUGUUGAGUGUUUAGCAUUUACUAGUACUGACCGAUGCAUACCGGACUGCUCUUGCACGUAGUGAUUUUAACUAACAUAGUGGAAAUACUAUGUGCUGGUGGCAUGAUAAUCAUACUGUAUGCUCCGUCAGUGCACCAUGGUGGCAGCAGGAUACUGUGGACUUUCUUUAGUGUUAGAUCCCGUGCUCCAUAUGGUCCUAUUGAUGUCUAACUUGUGUUGUGAUGUCAUGAUCACGAGGGGGCAUCAGAAGACACAGCAGCUCCUGUAUAUUACUGUAUAUACGUAGACAAAUGGGGAAUGGGUGGGAGGGGUGGGACAAGCCUUGCUCUACAGUGCAGAAUCUGGACACUUCUCUUCAUGGCUCCUACUAAUCUACUCUGUCGUGUCUGUUUGUGCAUCAGAUCUUACACUGUCUUUCUUAACUUCUAAUAAAACUUAACUCUUUGCUCACCCAGAUCUUUGCCUGUAGCCUCUUUGUUUGUUCCCUCUCGAAGAUAAGGCAGGCAAAGCAACAUGCCUGCCUUGGGACAAAAGUAGAUUACUGAAGGAAUUGAAUUGCUGUGCUCUGUUUUUUGGAGGGCUUCUCUGAUUUCUUUAUAGCAUCAUUUCUGAAUAGCACACUGAGGUCGACAUUUUGUCUGAACAGAGAGUCUAAUCAGAUGCACAUGACAAGCACACCCUCAUAUGCACAGUCCAUCACAUAUGCAGACAGAUGUCUAUGGAAAUAAUUUGCUGAACCAGAUCUGUGUGUGUGUGUAUGUGUGUGCGCGCAUAACUGCACUGUGUGUGUGUGUGUGUGUGUGUGUGUGUGGCGCGUGAGAGUGUAACCCUCUGGCCUCUCUCAUCAGGACGGUUCUGGUUCUCUGAAGCGGAGCGGCUCCUUCAGUAAACUCCGUGCCUCUAUUCGCCGCAGCAGCGAGAAACUGGUCCGCAAGCUGAAGGGCGGUGGCACACGGGAGAGCGAGCCCAAAAACCCUGGCAUGAAGCGAGCCAGUUCACUAGGUGUUCUAAACGUGGUGGACAAUGCUGCCGGAGACCUCUACCAAGAGCAAAAUAAUCAUCUGACAAAGAGUCGUGACCUGAGUGCCAGCCACAAUGACCUGGCACAUUGAAGGUUAGAACUGAGUGGAGAGACAAAGAGGUCAUGGGAUCAGUCUCCUGAACUCCUCCCCACCCCCCCACCCCCAACCUUCAGAUCCUGCCUCCGCCUAUGAGCUGUCCCUCUCCAAUAUAAUCAUGCACAAAGCUGACUAACUGUUACACCCCCCCCCCCAGGUUAAACCAAACAAACCCUUCCUAAACCAUACACAACCGUCCAUCUGCUCGCUACAGCACGUAGGUUUAACAAUCUCAUUGUACUUUGAUCUAGUCGCUGGUUUUCUUAGAGGGUGUUUUUAUUGAAAUGUUUUCUCUUAAUAUCAAAAUAUAUUUUGCAACAUGAGAUUAGUUAUAAUGAAGGACAGGUGUAUAAUGCUAAGUCAAGUGUGAGUGGAUGUAAGUGUGCACCUAUAUUUUUGUGAUUGAGUGCUCAUGAGAGAGAACAUUCAUUUUUAUUUUCUGUGUGGUUGCUUUUUCCUACCUUUCCUCCACAGAUCUAAAGAAUAACUUAGAUCAUUUGGUUAUCACUUUAAUGGAAUAGGUGAGCAGUUCAGGAGGUCGCAAUAGAGAAUCUCAUUCCCCCUUUACGUCCAAAUUGAUGUCCUGUGUAUUUUUAUGAAGUUUAAUGUUUACAUUUGGCUUGUGUAAAUUGUUUUAUUGUAUUUCCUACGCUGCUCUGGGGGAAUCUUUUGUUUCUUGGCAUCAGAGUUCUUGAAACUGAUAGUUCUGCCUCUUUUUAUAGUGAUAUUACUUAUUUGAAUUGAAGAAACUGCUCCAUGUAUAUGACGUUAUGAGGCAGGAGCGUUGUGUUGGCACAUGAAGUAUAUCUUGUCGAUUUCUCAGGAUGGUCACAGAACAGAAGAUCGCUAGCCAGGCUAGUUUUGAUAUUAUACACUGACUGCACAAGAUAUUUAACACCAACCUGUUACGGUCAAAUGCAAUUUCCAGUAAUAGGUGAAUAACAUUGUUACAAUCUAGAGUAGAAACAUUGUUAACUAUUUGUACCAGUCUGUUUCUGGAUGUUGAAUGAUGAAUUAAGAGUAAGACUGUGUAUAAAGAGUGAAAUUAAUCUUAAAGGACUUGUACUUUAUGAAUAUCCAACCAAAAAGUGAACAUCAUUUUUAAUAGAUCUAUUGCAGGUCUGUCACCACCACAUUUGCAUCGUUUUACUUUGUUCUCAAAACUUUCAAAUUAGUGGUUUUUCGUUUGUGGAGCAUGCUUUAUUUUUGGUUCACAGACAUCUCUCUACUGACCCCUGACAUGGGUUUGGAUUGCUUGUUUGGUGGACUGUGUAAUGUGGGCUGUUGAUGGGGAUGUGUGAUAGCGUUCUCUUACAUUUGACUUUAGAAAGCAUAGAACCAGGGUCGCCCCCAGUCCCUCACCAGGAACAGCACUAGUUAGGGUUAAAGGGAAAACACCGGUUAGACUGUCCAAGGAAGAGGACUUAUUUUAAUGAUGAACAAGCUAGCUAUCAUGAGCAGAGUGAACCAUAGAGUAGUGAGUAAUUUGCUUAGUAAAUACCAGAUAUUGUUUGAGCAUUUCAAGCAGAGGUUUGUGGUAUUGUUAACUGUAUACUGCAGUUUGUAAAAAAAAUCAAAAAUAUUUAGUAGCUCAUACAGUAACGGGCAUAGGCUUUUCUAUGCAGAAUGCAGUUGGUAAUUCGAAAAACGUAACUUUUACUUGUGUAACACACAACAAAGCUUGUGAUUAACUUGUGCAAGCUUUUAGCCUUACCUUGUUAUGUAUAUAUUAGAUCAUACUCUUAUAACAUUGUGGUAACAUUGCGCUUGUCAGGAUAGAAUAUACAAAUGCAAGGAACUUUGAUAUAAGCACAAACCUGUAAGCUAAGUAUGUGUUGGAUGCUCCCAUUUGACUGUUGAUCAGUUUGUCUGUCAAUCAUCAACCUGCUUUAUUUGUGUUUUCUCCAUUCUGUGUUUGCUCAGAGUUACUGGUAAGGUACUACAGUGCCCAGCUGAUUAGAAAGGCACAUCAAUUCAUAGGGCUAGACAUUGAAUUAUUGAGGACAAAAUGUAUGCUUUUAUAUCAGAAGCAUUAAUUCAAGUAUACUGUGUUGAGAGAGAAUAGGACCCUAUUUCUGAAAGGUAAUCACCCCCUGCCCCUGUGUUUAUGACCAGAUGUUUACAAACUUAAAUGAUCAUGAAAUCCCUCAAAUGCCUGGCCAGUUAUUCUUUGUUCUUCAAUGUAUUGAAGUAUUUUGCUUUACAGGUAAAAAAGUAAUGAUAAAGUGAAUGUAUGAAUCCUAUUCUUAAACUCAAAGACCGUUGUGGUUAAUUAUUUGAAAUUAGUAAUCCUAUGAGCAGUAGUCACUGUUGAGGUGAUGCACAUCUUCCUAUGGAGAAGGGCAACAAGCCCUGAACUAAUGGUCGAAUUCAUUUUGCAUGGCCAGGUGCCCCCGGUUGCUCCUUUUAGACCAUUCCAUUGGUUCUUAAGGGAACUCUCAACCCACCUGGUGCAACAGGCCAUGCAAAACGAACUCCACCAGUGAAACACUGCUGGGAAAUCUUCAUGAUGACAUCACCAUAUUGUUAGUGGCUCUUAACAGUCAAUGCACCAGCCUCUCUACUGUCCAUCUGUUCCUUUGUUUUUGAAAGUGCAAUUUUUGUUUGUUUGGGGUUGGCCUGGAGUGUGUAUGUGUGGGGAUGUCCUGGGCUGCUCUGGUGAUAGGAUCAACAAUUGGUAACUGCCCAAACUCCCAGCCUCUCUCUCCUUUAGGCUGCCUUCUGUGCUGGCUGGAUCAGCCCAUAAACUGUGGUGAAGUGCUUGCCCUUCAAAAAUAUAUUGUAUGGUAUAAAUUGUAUGAAUAAAAUAAUACAAAUGUU